CAUGUUAUACUUCAAAAUUGGUGAAAUUAUUGACGAUAGAAUCACACAAGACUAUUUCGCUAACAAUGUGAAUCCCACUCUACCUAUGCACCGAAAAUGUACCUGUCAUCUGCUGAGUUUGAUAGCGAAGGCUGAUAUAUCAAAGAUUCAAGAUCACACAUUUCAAGAAUUGAGAAAUUCGACGCUUGUAAAAAUUCAACUGUUGCUGAAUAAACAAACAUCAAGUUCCCUGAAUUCGGACCUCAUAAUGGAACUAAUUGGACAACUUUUCAUUCAAAAAAACGAAACAAGAUGGAAUUCAGAGUAUUACGCUAUACGCUGCAUUGUCCGAUUAUUGAGAACGAAGAGUCGUGCAAUGAGGAAACUUUUUGAAGAGCUUCGUUUAACUCCUUUCACGCCUAACGAGGAGCAGUUCCUGAAGGAAUACACGAAGAUAAUGCGAUAUAUCACUGAUGCGUUAGACGUGUUGCAAGGCGAGAAGAAUAUCGGCUUGGGGUUCCUACUUCCAACAAUUUCUGUUUAAAAAAAAAACUGGCUUUGCUACAAGACAAUGCGUCGAUUAUUAAAUGUCAAUCACUAAUCACUGGACUGCUUGACGCUAUCUAUGAGAGAUUUGAACACAUGUUCUCAGAGAAUGAGCUACGUUUGGCUACGAUUACCAACCCAUUUUUUAAGCACUCAUGGUUGGAUAAUUAAGACGAUGUUCGUCGCGCAAAAACAUUGCUCAGAGGAGAAUUUGUCCGGUUUCAGGGACUAAACAACGAGUCCGAAUCUUCGGAUGAUUCAAGUGACGGGACCUCCUCUUCAAUAUCAGAUCCCAGUCCGGAGAAAAAACAGAGACGCGCGAAGGAUUUUUUUGCCUCAAUUACUAAACGAAAUGAAAAGUCAAAGGUAAUUGAUGAAGUAGAGACAUUCCUUAAGAUGUGUGGAAAUCUAGAUGACCUACCAAAUUAUCCAACCAUCAUGAAGAUGUAUAAGUAAGUGCCGUGCCGACAUUCUAUGUGUAUUGUCAUUAUACGUAAUUCAUCACUAAUGUAAUUUUUUUAGACGAUAUAACGUGAUUUUGCCCUCUUCCGCCGCAGCCGAGAGACUUUUUAGU